rnacentral:rRNA from 1 species
UACGUAGGGUGCAAGCGUUAAUCGGAAUUACUGGGUGUAAAGCGUGCGCAGGCGGUUUUGUAAGUCUGUCGUGAAAGCCCCCGGGCUCAACCUGGGAAUUGCGAUGGAGACUGCAAGGCUUGAAUCUGGCAGAGGGGGGUAGAAUUCCACGUGUAGCAGUGAAAUGCGUAGAGAUGUGGAGGAACACCGAUGGCGAAGGCAGCCCCCCUGGGUCAAGAUUGACGCUCAUGCACGAAAGCGUGGGGAGCAAACAGG